AAUUUUUCAGAGAUGGGUAUAAACGGAGGUCGGAGCCAGCUGCAAAUGGGUGGGUAAGCAGCAAGUGGGUGGAGCUUUACCCGCAAGUGGGCUGUACAAACUUCCAGAGGAUUUUGAUUGGUUUAUUUAUAUCACCUGUAGCAGCUAUUGGUUUAUGCUCCUCAGUUGGUGGCGCUAAUGCGUAAGUUUUGUAGCGAUCGAUCAGAAAACAAAGAAGAAAACCGCUUUCACAUGUCAGCGUGUUGUUGAAAUGAAGGGAUUAUGGAUUCUGAAGACCAUAAUAAUAAGGACAAUGCAGGACAAAGGCUGUCAAAUAACUGGAGUGUUUGUCUUGAUGGCAAUAUGCACUGUAUGUUAUUCUGGGACAGAAGUUUGACUUCACUGAAGUAAACAUGAAGAACAUAGGAAAAUGGUGGUGUGCCAUCUUGCUUGAAAAUUAAGUAAGUGUGAAAAAAUUAGCUGUACUUUUAACGUGGUGUUUUAAGAAACUCUUAAAGAAGUGAAGAAAUCUUGUUCAGUCUGUAAACUGUUUUGGGAAGACAUGGAACGGAAUGAUUUAGUGACUCGCUCAUAACACUAUUUCAGUAAAAAUAUAUUCUGCAGACACUUUGAGUGAAAAGAGUGUUUCAGUGAUGAUAAAAAUCAGCAGGUGUAAACACUACUUGCUCUAUCAAACUCCUUUAAUAGCUGUUCUUAAUACUAUUAGGGGUUGGCAAGAUUUUGAAAUGUUUUUGUAUUCAAAUGUUGUUGUAUUCAUUGGUGAAUAAUUUAAAAUUGGACCAUUAAUUAGAUUUUUUUCUAUAUUUACAAAAGUCUUUACUGUAAUUUGUAAUCAAUGUAAUGCAUCCUUGCAUUUAAUUAAUUUUGAUAUUGAACUUGUUCUAUUUCUUACUUUAUUUGUUUUUGUUGCAUGAUAAUCAAAUUGUGCAAGACAUGGGAGAAAGAGAAAAUGAGCUGUUGUAGCUGGUAUUGUCAGCUUUUUAUAUUUUGCUGAUAUUUUUUGUCAAAUAAAAAAUUAAUGGAUAAUUUUAUCACGUUUUAAUUCUAAUUCUCUUUCAGAAGAAGAAGAAGAAUGCUCUGCACUCCCUGAAACCUACGGGAAGAAAAAAAAUGAACUUGCAUAUGAAACAGACCAAACCGCAGUUGUGCCCUGUGUUUUUAGCAAGGAUGAGCUGUUAAAAGAUGAUGACCCUCCAUCAAGCUUUAUCUUCAAGGUAGUUGAAUGUUAUAUAAUGUGCUUUUUUUAAAAAUGUAACGGCCUGUGCUAACUUUUCAGUUAUCAGGAGCGUUGCUGAAGAACAUAGUUGUUCUUCAAGAAGAAGAUGCUGCCUACACGACCCUGUCAUUGGCUUGCUCAAGGUUCAGGGACAUAGUUGGUGAUGACAAGUUCAAGAAUCAGGCACACUUCUUAUGGCUAGAAAGUAAAUAUUGACAUUAAAAAAUAAAAUGCAUAACAAGAACAUCAUUGAUAAUGUUAUGUGAUUUUUUCACCUCGGGUGUUACAUGCUGGAAAAAAGUCAUCUCACUACAAACAGCUCUUCUGGAAGAUGUACUCAUUCUCCACUUGUUUGGAGUGUGGGUUUGAGAACAAAUGCUGCACACCUGGUACUUUUUGUGUAAAUUGGUGAUGAAUAAACUAGUUGUUAGUCUAGAGGAAAACUAAAAAUCUAAUUUACUUAUGUCAUCCCUUGGAGUUUAAAAGUUCUGGACACCAUUCAAUUGACCUACAGAACUGAGAAAUUAUUCCUAAUGUUUGUAAAUGUUCACUGUCAACUAUAAACCCUAGUUCUUAUUGUGCUUCUUGUGUAUCCAUCAGGUUAUGCUGGGAAGGGAAAGCGAGGUGAACUCCAGGGCAUUUAUUCAAAAACCUUCCACCCUGGAUUUUGCAGAUUUGACUGCAUGCAGAUCAGUUCUAAUGAGCUGAUAUAGUUUCCUUACAAAGACUAAAAAUAAUAAAAUAAAAUAAACACUUUUGCAAUCAA